rnacentral:rRNA from 1 species
AUUGAACGCUGGCGGCAUGCCUAACACAUGCAAGUCGAGCGGAGCGGCGGACGGGUGAGUAAUGACUAGGAAUCUGCCUGGUAGUGGGGGAUAACGUCCGGAAACGGGCGCUAAUACCGCAUACUAACAGAUGAGCCUAGGACGUAUUAGCUAGUUGGUGGGGUAAAGGCCUACCAAGGCGACGAUCCGUAACUGGUCUGAGAGGGUGAUCAGUCACACUGGAACUGGUACACGGUCCGGACUCCUACGGGAGGCAUCAGUGGGGAAGAUUGGACAAUGGGCGAAAGCCUGAUCCAGCCAUGCCGCGUGUGUGAAGAAGGUCUUCGGAUUGUAAAGCUCUUUAAGUUGGGAGGCGUUACCGACACAGUAAGCACCGGCUAACUUCGUGCCAGCAGCCGCGGUAAUUC